rnacentral:rRNA from 1 species
UACGUAGGGGGGCAAGCGUUGUCCGGAAUCAUUGGGCGUAAAGAGCUUGUAGGUGGUUUUGUCGCGUCUGCUGUGAAAAAUCCGAGGCUCAACCUCGGACUUGCAGUGGGGUACGGGCAGACUAGAGUGUGGUAGGGGGAGACUGGAAUUCCUGGUGUAGCGGUGGAAUGCGCAGAUAUCAGGAGGAACACCGGUGGCGAAGGCGGGACUCUGGGCCGAUACUGACGCUGAGGAGCGAAAGCGUGGGAGCGAACAGG